GACGAACGCUGGCGGCGUGCUUAACACAUGCAAGUCGAACGGAAAGGCCCUGCUUUUGUGGGGUGCUCGAGUGGCGAACGGGUGAGUAACACGUGAGUAACCUGCCCUUGACUUUGGGAUAACUUCGGGAAACUGGGGCUAAUACCGGAUAGGAGCUCCUGCUGCAUGGUGGGGGUUGGAAAGUUUCGGCGGUUGGGGAUGGACUCGCGGCUUAUCAGCUUGUUGGUGGGGUAGUGGCUUACCAAGGCUUUGACGGGUAGCCGGCCUGAGAGGGUGACCGGCCACAUUGGGACUGAGAUACGCACCAGACUCCUACGGGAGGCAGCAGUGGGGAAUAUUGCACAAUGGGCGGAAGCCUGAUGCAGCAACGCCGCGUGCGGGAUGACGGCCUUCGGGUUGUAAACCGCUUUCGCCUGUGACGAAGCGUGAGUGACGGUAAUGGGUAAAGAAGCACCGGCUAACUACGUG
rnacentral:rRNA from 1 species